ACCUUCAGAUUCAGAUUUAUAAGGCACAUUAUUACUUAUAAAACAAGGAGGCCUCUCUGGAAGCUAAGCAGGAUCGGGCCUGGUAGUACUUAGAUGGGAGACCACCUAGGAAGACCAGGUGCUGUAGGUG
rnacentral:rRNA from 1 species